GAAUGAAGCAGCGUUCCCUUGUUGUGUGUUUGCUUACAGGAGUCGGUGCGAUAUACGUGCAUCUGGAGCCCCUGCAGAGCGGAGGGGGGCAGGAGAGGGGGCUGCGCUCAGGCACCCACGCCUUUAGCAGUCGGCCUCGGAGUGGCCUGUGAAAUGGCACAGCAGGAGAUGAAGUACGAUGAGCACCGAGUGUCUAUGCUGAUAAAAUCGUGGUGGAGCUCCCAGAUGUUAUAGUGAACGGAGAUCCUGAAGAGAGAUAUUCAGGUUGCAUUAAUCUGUUGUUUGCUUACGUGGAGGGGGAAAGUCUGCUGAUGGCCCUGAAGGAUGUUGCCCUGUCGUCAGGCAGUGCCUGCACAUCAGCUUCUUAGAGCCGCCUUAUGUGCUCCGAGCCAUAGGAACAGACAAAGAUCUGGCCCACUUAUCCGUAAGGUUUGACCGCUUCACCACAGAGGAAGAGGUGGAUUAUAUGGCAGAGAAAUGCAUAGUGCAGGUCAGGCUGCUAAGAGAAAUGAGUCCUUUGUGGGAAAUGAUGCAAGAGGGAAUUGACUUGAAGAGUAUUAAAUGGACCCAGCACUGAGGAUGCAAGAAGCAGGAUUCAGUGUUGCUGGGAAACGCUGGGCUUUGGACCAGAGACCGCCUCCCAACUCACGGCAGGCUGCUGACCCAUUAACCUGUAAAAUCUCAAUAGAACAUUUUCCUAGUUCACGUUUCCAUUCGCUGCCCUUGCAGCAGCAGCCAAACGCCCUCCUCCAAUCUGGUUUGAGGCACUGUGAAUAAGUGACCAUCAGUCCAUUAGAUCUGAUCACUCAAUAUGUUGGGGGGGGGGGUUGUGCUGAAAUGCAGGAACAUACUGAGAGCUGUGCAUAGCAGACCUCUGAGAUGCACUGUACAGAUCCAUCUGGAAGACUUUCACAGUGCAUCUUUCUUGUAUAAUAAUAAUAUCUUUCCGUAGCUGAAGAGAAUAAUGUGUGCCUGUUGGUUUUGUGUUUGUGGUGGAAGUUUUGUUGCAUCAGUAAAGAUGGAGUGCUUCAAUCACACAACAGGAUGUGGCAGCCAGGGUUUCCACAGUCAGAUAAAGGGGUCAAUGUUAUGUGUCUGACUAAUAAAACUUACAAUGUGCUUUCUGCAAACUAAAUAAUAGGUGUUUUUCUUACUGUAUUUGAGUCUCUUGUUGUUUUGUUCAAAUAUAUAUUGCAAACGAACUGCUCUGUCGAUGUAUUUAUUUAUCUGUGCUUCACAGUCUGUGCAGCAUGGGAAGUCAAUGUAUUCUUCUCUGUCCCAAAGGGUUUGUUCAACAGCUGUAUAUGAAACCAGCCCCACAAAUAGAGGGGGUGUUGGUAAACAAUGUUGUUACUGGGGCACCUGCAUGUUGGAUUUGACCUAUUCUCUCGCACAUGUUGCCUUAUCGAUAAUGCAUACUUGUGUAAUGCGAUCAUUAUCUUUUCAGUUCUGUGUUUUGAGAAGCAAGUAAUGUAAACCGGCUAAGAAAACGCGUGUGUGUCGUUGGAGAGCGUGAAUAAACGUGUGUUAAACCCC